UACGUAGGGCGCAAGCGUUAUCCGGAAUUAUUGGGCGUAAAGAGCUCGUAGGCGGUUUGUCGCGUCUGCCGUGAAAAUUCGAGGCUCAACCUCGAACUUGCGGUGGGUACGGGCAGACUAGAGUGUGGUAGGGGAGACUGGAAUUCCUGGUGUAGCGGUGAAAUGCGCAGAUAUCAGGAGGAACACCGAUGGCGAAGGCAGGUCUCUGGGCCACUACUGACGCUGAGAAGCGAAAGCAUGGGGAGCGAACAGG
rnacentral:rRNA from 1 species